rnacentral:rRNA from 1 species
GACGAAGGGGGCUAGCGUUGUUCGGAAUUACUGGGCGUAAAGCGCGUGUAGGCGGUUGUUCAAGUCAGGUGUGAAAGCCUUGAGCUCAACUCAAGAAAUGCACUUGAUACUGGAUGACUAGAGGACCGGAGAGGAUAGUGGAAUUCCCAGUGUAGUGGUGAAAUACGUAGAGAUUGGGAAGAACACCAGUGGCGAAGGCGGCUAUCUGGACGGUUUCUGACGCUAAGACGCGAAAGCGUGGGGAGCAAACAGGA